UACGAAGGGGGCGGGCGUUGUUCGGAAUUACUGGGCGUAAAGGGCGCGCAGGCGGCUCUGAAAGUCAGAUGUGAAAGCCCCGGGCUUAACCUGGGAAUUGCAUUUGAUACUCUGGAGCUUGAGUGUGGGAGAGGAGAGUGGAAUUCCCAGUGUAGAGGUGAAAUUCGUAGAUAUUGGGAAGAACACCGGUGGCGAAGGCGGCUCUCUGGACCACAACUGACGCUGAGGCGCGAAAGCGUGGGGAGCAAACAGG
rnacentral:rRNA from 1 species